UGGUUUCCUGGAGCAGCAGGUUCCGGAUGGGAGGCCGAGCUCAGACCCUGCUGCUCCGUGCAACCAGC
rnacentral:precursor_RNA from 1 species